GCAGAAUUAAGGUCAAGCUGAAGACUUUACCAGACAAGCUGAGAGGUGGUGCAUGGCCGUCGCCAGCUCGUGCCGUGAGAUGUCCUGUUAAGUCAGGUAACGAGCGAGAUCCUCGCCACUAGUUGCUAUCAUUAUUCUCAGGAAUAGUGGGGCGAAUUAGUGGGACUGCCGUUGUUAAAACGGAGGAAGGAGGGGGCUACGGCAGGUCAGUAUGCCCCGAAACUCUGGGGCCACACGCGGGCUGCAAUGGUAGCGACAAUGAGCUCCAAACUCGAAAGAGAGUGGCAAUCUCUAAACGCUACCACAGUUAUGACUGAGGGCUGUAACUCGCCCUCACGAAUAUGGAAUCCCUAGUAACCGCGUGUCAUUACCGCGCGGUGAAUACGUCCCUGCUCCUU
rnacentral:rRNA from 1 species